rnacentral:rRNA from 1 species
UACGUAGGGGGCAAGCGUUGUCCGGAAUCAUUGGGCGUAAAGAGCGUGUAGGCGGCUCGAUAAGUCUGCUGUGAAAGUCCAGGGCUCAACCCUGGAAGGCCGGUGGAAACUGUCGGGCUAGAGUCCGGAAGAGGCGAGUGGAAUUCCCGGUGUAGCGGUGAAAUGCGCAGAUAUCGGGAGGAACACCAGUGGCGAAGGCAGCUCGCUGGGACGGUACUGACGCUGAGACGCGAAAGCGAGGGGAGCGAACAGG